rnacentral:rRNA from 1 species
GUGUCAGCCGCCGCGGUAAAACCAGCACCUCAAGUGGUCAGGAGGAUUAUUGGGCCUAAAGCAUCCGUAGCCUGCUUUGUAAGUUUCCGGUUAAAUCCAUUAGCUCAACUAAUGGGCCGCCGGAAAAACUGCAAAGCUAGGGAGUGGGAGAGGUAGACGGUACUCGGUAGGAAGGGGUAAAAUCCUUUGAUCUAUUGAUGACCACCAGUGGCGAAGGCGGUCUACCAGAACACGUUCGACGGUGAGGGAUGAAAGCUGGGGGAGCAAACCGGAUUAGAUACCCGGGUAGUCCCAGCUGUAAACGAUGCAGACUCGGUGAUGCACUGGCUUGUGGCCAGUGCAGUGCCGCAGGGAAGCCGUUAAGUUUGCCGCCUGGGAAGUACGUACGCAAGUAUGAAACUUAAAGGAAUUGGCGGGGGAGCACCACAAGGGGUGAAGCCUGCGGUUCAAUUGGAGUCAACGCCAGAAAUCUUACCCGAGGAGACAGCAGAAUGAAGGUCAAGCUGGAGACUUUACCAGACAAGCUGAGAAGUGGUGCAUGGCCGUCGCCAGCUCGUGCCGUGAGAUGUCCUGUUAAGUCAGGUAACGAGCGAGAUCCCUGCCUCUAGUUGCCACCAUUACUCUCAGGAGUAGUGGGGCGAAUUAGCGGGACCGCCACAGUUAAUGUGGAGGAAGGAAGGGGCCACGGCAGGUCAGUAUGCCCUGAAACCUUGGGGCCACACGCGGGCUGCAAUGAUAGUGACAAUGAGUUCCUAAACCGAAAGGUGGAGGCAAUCUUCAAACGCUAUCACAGUUAUGAUUGAGGGCUGCAACUCGCCCUCAUGAAUAUGGAAUCCCUAGUAACUGCGUGUCAUUACCGCGCGGUGAAUACGUCCCUGCU